rnacentral:rRNA from 1 species
AAAACUUUCAACAACGGAUCUCUUGGUUCUGGCAUCGAUGAAGAACGCAGCGAAAUGCGAUAAGUAAUGUGAAUCGCAGAAUUCAGUGAAUCAUCGAAUCUUUGAACGCACAUUGCACCCUCUGGAUUCCAGGGGGUAUGCCUGUCCGAGCGUCGUC